UUAUUAUUAUUUAAGUGGGUUUAAUUUAACACAAUAAUUCGGUUCGGCCCGCUUUAUUAGCGUUUUAUAAUCAAUUUAGAAAGGAAAAAUUACAUCCCCUCCCCUAUAGUUUGUCGAAAUUACGUGUGGGUCCAAGGGUUUGAACGAUUUACACCCCCUCCCCUGAACUAUGAAAGAUUCUUACAUUUGAAUCCAAUUUGUUAGUAGCCGUGAGUUUGAAACUGUUAUGUGGUGAGGUCACAUUUCUUAUACCGAAAAUUCCCCUAAAAUGAAGUGAAGAGACUGAAAGACCCUUCACUUAAAAUAAUGAAAAAAGAUGGAAAUCCCUCUUUUGAUUUCAUGUCUUUAACCUAACUCUUCAAGCCCUAAAUUCCUCCCCACUUUCUUCUUUUUCUGAUGAUCUCUCCAUGGCGUUUUCUCUAUUUUUCUUUUAAAUUAGUGUUUGAUAGGAUAUGAAAGGUUGGAUUGGACGGAUAACAAAAACUAAUAAAAGAGGAAGCAGUAAUGUAGAAUUACCCAUGUCCGCAUGCACGCUCUCUCUUCGCUGCUUCUGCUGCAAUUGGAUACCUCGUCUCCCGCUGCAAAUUCGCCCCUUUCGAACCAUGAAGCAUCUCUCCCAAGCUUCCAUUCGGCAUGUACUUGUACAGUAACAGAUUUGUAUCAUUGUUCGAGACAAACCUAGCAAUCUCUUGAUGUUCCGGUGUCGAAUCCUUCCCAAAGUCUGAAUUUCAGCUAAGAAGCCAUGAUCGAUCCUCCCACUACUCGGACCAGCAAGUCGCUCGCUUGAUUGCAACAUCCAAGUUGUCCGGCAUCGAUCCCUGUACCAUUUGAUCUUUAAAAUGGCGGUGGUGAGAAGUAACACAAUUCCAACUACUGAUACGAUGAUGACGAUGAUCUUCGAACAUGACCUUCUCUGUUUUGAACCUGUUGGGGUUUGGAUAGAUGGACAGGGGGUUUGAUGCAGUGGACUACAGAGAUUGGGGUUUCCUAUAUAAGUGCUGCCGUUGAAAGCGAGGAAUUGUCCCCCAACCGGGAUCGGACUUGACAAGUUGUUGUAAGAGAGAUCCAACGUUGUUAGACUCGUCAGUGAUCGAAUUCCAGUGGGUAUUUGGCCG